UGGGGAAUAUUGCACAAUGGGGAACCUGAUGCAGCCAUGCCGCGUGUAUGAAGAAGGCCUUAGGGUUGUAAAGUACUUUCGGUGAUGAGGAAGGUACUUGGUCUAAUAGGCCAAGUAAUUGACGUUAAUUACAGAAGAAGCACCGGCUAACUCCGUGCCAGCAGCCGCGGUAAUACGGAGGGUGCGAGCGUUAAUCGGAAUGACUGGGCGUAAAGGGCAUGUAGGCGGAUGAUUAAGUUAGGUGUGAAAUCCCCGAGCUCAACUUGGGAAUUACAUUUAAAACUGGUCGUCUAGAGUAUUGUAGAGGAAGGUAGAAUUCCACGUGUAGCGGUGAAAUGCGUUAGAGAUGUGGAGGAAUACCGGUGGCGAAGGUGGCCUUCUGGACAGAUACUGACGCUGAGAUGCGAAAGCGUGGGGAGCAAACA
rnacentral:rRNA from 1 species